UGAUGCAUAGAUUUGACCACCUAAAGGAAAUAAGAUAACUGCUGCUUUUUCCUAGAACCGCCUUCUCCAUAUAGGUCAUUCCACUGCUUCAGCUCACUCAUUACGGAUCCUUCAGAAGCAAAGCUUGCAGCAACCUAACCAAAGAAGUGAUUCGUGAAGAUCUGUGUGCAAAUCCAAAAUGAAUGCAACAAUAAAACUGAAGGAAAUAAGUCCUUCGCAUGCAUUAUUUGUAAGUAUAUAUUUCCUGCUUCUGUGAUUCCACAAAAGAAAACUAGGUUCAUAUUGUACUUUAUGUUAGAAAAACAUGAUCCUGCUAAGAGAUACUGUAAUGUCCAUGAGAGAGUAUAAGGAACCCUAUUUUAUUUAUAAGGAUAGGUCUAUCCAAGAAAGUUUGUGUAGCUAUGAAUUCAGAUGACAGGACCAAAAAAAAAAACUAAAGAAA